rnacentral:rRNA from 1 species
AUUAUACCGCGAAACUGCGAAUGGCUCAUUAAAUCAGUUAUCGUUUAUUUGAUAGUACCUUACUACUUGGAUACCUGUGGUAAUUCUAGAGCUAAUACAUGCUGAAAAAUCCCGACUCACGGAGGGAUGUAUUUAUUAGAUUAAAAACCAAUGCCCCUCGGGGCUUUCUGGUGAUUCAUAAUAACUUCACGAAUCGCACGGCCUUGCGCCGGCGAUGGUUCAUUCAAAUUUCUGCCCUAUCAACUUUCGAUGGCAGGGUCUUGGCCUGCCAUGGUUUCAACGGGUAACGGAGGGUUAGGGCUCGACCCCGGAGAAGGAGCCUGAGAAACGGCUACUACAUCCAAGGAAGGCAGCAGGCGCGCAAAUUACCCAAUCCCGACACGGGGAGGUAGUGACAAUAAAUACUGAUACAGGGCUCUUUUGGGUCUUGUAAUUGGAAUGAGUACAAUUUAAAUCCCUUAACGAGGAACAAUUGGAGGGCAAGUCUGGUGCCAGCAGCCGCGGUAAUUCCAGCUCCAAUAGCGUAUAUUAAAGUUGUUGCAGUUAAAAAGCUCGUAGUUGAACCUUGGGCCUGGCUGGCCGGUCCGCCUCACCGCGUGCACUGGUUCGGCCGGGCCUUUCCCUCUGGGGAGCCCUAUGCCCUUCACUGGGUGUAGUGGGGAACCAGGACUUUUACUGUGAAAAAAUUAGAGUGUUCAAAGCAGGCAUUUGCUCGAAUACAUCAGCAUGGAAUAAUAGAAUAGGACGUGUGGUUCUAUUUUGUUGGUUUCUAGGACCGCCGUAAUGAUUAAUAGGGACAGUCGGGGGCAUCAGUAUUCAAUUGUCAGAGGUGAAAUUCUUGGAUUUAUUGAAGACUAACUACUGCGAAAGCAUUUGCCAAGGAUGUUUUCAUUAAUCAGGAACGAAAGUUAGGGGAUCGAAGACGAUCAGAUACCGUCGUAGUCUUAACCAUAAACUAUGCCGACUAGGGAUUGGACAAUGUUAUUUUUUGACUUGUUCAGCACCUUACGAGAAAUCAAAGUUUUUGG